rnacentral:rRNA from 1 species
GACGAACGCUGGCGGCGUGCUUAACACAUGCAAGUCGAACGAUGAAGCUAGAGCUUGCUCUGGUGGAUUAGUGGCGAACGGGUGAGUAACACGUGAGUAACCUGCCCCGAACUCUGGGAUAACUGCUGGAAACGGUAGCUAAUACCGGAUAUGACCAAUGAAGGCAUCUUCUGUUGGUGGAAAGAAUUUCGGUUCGGGAUGGACUCGCGGCCUAUCAGCUUGUUGGUGAGGUAACGGCUCACCAAGGCGACGACGGGUAGCCGGCCUGAGAGGGUGAUCCGCCACACUGGGACUGAGACACGGCCCAGACUCCUACUGGGGGCAGCAGUGGGGAAUAUUGCACAAUGGGCGCAAGCCUGAUGCAGCAACGCCGCGUGAGGGAUGAUGGCCUUCGGGUUGUAAACCUCUUUUAGUAGGGAAGAAGCGAAAGUGACGGUACCUGCAGAAAAAGCACCGGCUAACUACGUGCCAGCCGCCGCCGUAA